UGGAAAUAGAUACCUGUGAUCUUGAAAUGCUAUGGGGUGCCACAAAUUCCUAGGAGGGGGUAAGCCCUGGAAAAGGCUCUUAACAAGAAAGCAGAACCAACAGAAGGAGUCUCUAGCCCACAGGAGCCCAAAGUCCCAGGGAAGAGAGAUGAGUCAAUGGAGCUAAGCACAAGGUGCGAUGGGAACUACAUCUGACCUGGAUACCAACAGACGGUACCAUUUAACCAAAGGAAGGAAUGAAUCCUCUAAUAGCAGACUUUGCCUGGCACAGCUGCCUAUUUAUUUAUUCCACAAAUAUUGACUGAGUGCCUACAAUGUGCCAGGCUUUUAAGUGAAUGGUGGUAGGAAAAGGAGAACUUCUGUAUAUCCUUCAAAUAAUACCAGGGGGCCCGGGUUCGAUCCCUGGUCAGGGAACAUGCCACAACUAAGAGUUCGCAUGCUGCAACUAAAGAUCCCAUGUGCCGAAAUGAAGAUCCUGCACGCGGCAAUGAAGAUUCCACGUGCCUCAACUAAGACCCGACGCA